UACGGGGGGGGCAAGCGUUGUUCGGAAUUACUGGGCGUAAAGGGCUCGUAGGCGGCCAACUAAGUCGGAUGUGAAAUCCCCAGGCUUAACCUGGGAACUGCAUCCGAUACUGGAUGGCUUGAAUUCGGGAGAGGGACGCAGAAUUCCAGGUGUAGCGGUGAAAUGCGUAGAUAUCUGGAGGAAUACCGGUGGCGAAGGCGGCAUCCUGGACCGACAUUGACGCUGAGUGAGCGAAAGCUAGGGGAGCAAACGGG
rnacentral:rRNA from 1 species